UACGUCAAAAAUUUAUUAUGAAAAAUUUCAAAAAAACAAUAUUUGUGGAAUUGAAGCGAAAAAUUAAGAAACAUCAUCGUGAUUAUUCGACAAACUGCCUUCUGAAGGAUGCUGGAUUUUCUCUACAAAGAAAAAUCAAAACAUCGCACGAUGUAUAGCGGAUCUUGGUCGCAUGCUCACAACAAGAAUAUCUGAAUCUUCAUUUGCAUUCGACGGUCGUACAGCACGUUUAUUGCUCAAUAGAUUCUUGCCAUUGGAGAAGAGUCGCUGGAAAUGAUUCUCUAUCUAUAAAUGUUUCCGAGGAAUAAACAAGAAAACCAUAGCCUGGGAGGAUUCGUAUUUAUUAAAACAAACUUCUUCAGAAGUUAUUUAUAGAUGAAGUGAUUUUGAAGCUACACAAAAGCAUUGAUUCAAGUGGGUUGAUGAUAGUCGUCCCACAAAAAAAAAAUUCUUUUUCGUUUUCAAGGAAAUGAUUACAAUUACUCCUCCUGAAGCAGUUUAUGUUCAAGGUGACUUUGAAAGUACUUACACGCAUGGAUGCAAGUGGGCUGAUAUCAGCACAGUAAAAAAAGGUUACCCUUUCUUUGCUGUACUGUUAUCAGCCCACUUGCAUCCAUGCUUGUAAGUACUUUCAAAAUCACUUUGAACAUAAAGUGCUUCAGGUGGACUAAUUGUAAUCAUUACCUUGAAAACGAAAAAGAAUUCUUUUUUUGUGGGACGACUAUCAUCAACCCACUUGAAUCCAUGCUUUUGUGCAGCUUCAAAAUCACUUCGAAUAUAUAUAACUUCUGAAAAAGUAUGUUUUAAUAAAUACGAAUCAUCCCAGGCUACGGUUUUUUUAUUUUUUCCUCGGAAACAUUUAAAGAUAGAAAAUUAUUUUCAACGACUCUUCCAAUGGUGCGAAAUUAUUGAUCGAAAAACGUGUUGUGCGAUUACCUAAUGUUAGUGUAGAGUCAGAUAUUCUAGUUGCACACAUGCGACCAAGAGCGGACCUUACAUUGUGAAGUGAAAGAUGAUUGAAAAAUAAGACGUAGUUGUACUUGGGGGCGACGAGCACCCUCCGCCAGCCAAUCAGAUGAGUAGCUUGCUAUAGACAGUGAUAAUACCGAGCACCCCAAAUCGUUGCUUCCCUGGUCCUUCCACCAAAGACGCGGACGUUCUGUAUCAAUGGCGACUUGUGUUUGUUCCGUGUGUUCCCAGAGAUCAGUAUUGUAUAUGCUCUCCGGUCACCAUAUUUUCAAUAUUUUUUUUAAGCAUUUGUUUAUAAAUGUUUGGAUGCACGAUUAAAUAGAGGCAGAGUUUUUCCACGUUUCGCAUUCGUAAUACUGCAUUGAUUUAACGUUCGAGUUCGAAUGCGAGUACUUAUUUGCUUAGACUUCCACACAUUACUUAACUGUCCGAAAGCUGACUUAACUUUCCUCAGUCAGGCCGAGACGAUUUUAUCUGCACCACUGCUCAAUUGGAUCAUUACCAAUUCUGAUGGAUGGAGGAUCCUGAAUAGUUUAACUGCUGCACACGACUUUUAUUUUUCUAUGGCUUAUGAAUAGGCCGACAUAGGAUGCACAGGAACUGAGUAUGUCCAUAAGUAUAAGUAAUGUGGAACCUAUUUACUUGGCGGAUAAAUAUGUUGUGAAUGGCGGAGGCGUGCCCAACUACAAUCUAUCAAGAAAGAAAGUCCUAUUAGACAGAGCACCCAUACCAAAAAAUUAGAAACUUCCUUGCACCAAAUAUGCAGAAUUUACAGACAAGAAGAGGAAAAAGGAACAAUUAAAGACCUCUGACUGCCGCGCCUUGGUAGGAUAGCACCAUUUGACUGAAGAGCGUUUGGAACUGAAUAUUAUUUCAACAAUGAAAAAUAUUACAUAGAAUAUUUUAUUUCAAGAACGAAAGUCUUGUUGGACAGGGUAACCAUGCCGAAAAAUUAUAAAUUUGCUUGCACCAGAUAUGCAGAAGUUACAGACAAGAAGAGGGAAAAAGAACAAUUAAAAACUUCUAUCGUGAAUGCCGCGCCCUGAUAGGAUAGUGCCAUUUGACAGAAGAGGUUUUGAAACUGAAGAUAGUUACAAGUAUUUUGAAUAUAAUUUCAACAAUGAAAAAUAAUACCAAAUAUAACCCAACUGCAAUCCAUCAAGAACGAAAGUCCUACUAGACAGAGCACCAAUGCCGAAAAAUUAUAAAUUUGCUUGCACCAGAUAUGCAGAAGUUACAGACAAGAAGAGGGAAAAGGAUACUUAAACACUUCUUAGGAUAGCGCCAUUUGACUGAACUGACGAUAUUAGAGAUAUCUUUAAUAUAAACCUUACAAGAAUAUUAUUUCAAAUUGGCACAUACUUUAAGAUGAAGCUGUGCCCUCACAAUUACUAGACCAGACAUUGAAAAUAUAUUCAUUAUUGACUAGGUUAAUUACUUCUAGAUAUUUUUGAUUCCAAAAAACGUAAUUUAAAAAGAACGAAUGAAGUUUCAACUAGUUGCACAAUAUUUUAAGAAUAAGAAAAAUAUACUACUUUAAAACACUUCUCGUUAUGUAGCUUCCAAACGGUUUACUCAAAAGAAGUGAAUGGAAGAACGGGAAAUUUCCAGCGGUGGGGUUCAACGAUGGAUCAAAGCAUGAAAAUGGACAAUGAUAUGACAAUGAAACAAUCAAUUGAGAACUUUUCCUCCAGUUUUUCAGAUUCGGAGAGGCAGGCGGCUAUAAAAUCCUUUCAAUCCAAAUCAAUCCAUUCAACCCAAAUCCUUACUUAAUCCAAAUUGGUCAACAGCUGGACAACUCUAGUGUCUUAAUUGGCUGCUAUAAAGUAGCACUUAUCAACAUAACUGGUGAGAUUUGAGAAAUGAGAGAUUUGACCGCAACGAAAAAGCUGAAAAGCUUGAGAGGCGAGAUGAAAACGUUUUUUUACAAAUAACUCAUUUCUUACCUCUUAAACAGAAAAAGUACUUAGAAGAACAGGAUGUAAUGUGUUCAAGAAAGCCUGAGUGAACUCAGAAUGUUUAGAAACUUAGAAUAUAAGAUAUUCGAAAAAGCCUGACUGAUCUCAGAAGUCCUGCGAUAGUCCAAAGAACAGAACGGAGACUUUUCAUUUUAAAUAUGAUGAUGUCGAGAAUAAUCACUCGUUUUUUAACUGGACAUGUUCUUGUUAACUAGCAAAUUUGACAAAUAGAGCCUGAAGACACCGCAACUUGCAGAUUUUGUAAAAUGAAGAGUAAGCUUCAGUGUAGCUUAUUUGCUCGUGUUGUGUGAUUUUCAGGAAACGAAUCAAUUUGCUUCCAACUUUGAUUGAAUCGAUUAAGAUCUGGGAUGUAUAGCCAAGACGAAUUCAUAGAUGUAAUAAGAGCUUGAAUUUAUUAGUUUGACUUAGAAAACUCUCUUGAGGAUACCAUACCGGAUCUCAGCUUUAAUAAGAGCUUCAAUUCGUCACGUCAACUUAAAAAACCAUGGAUAACUUGGCAAUUUUUUUAAGUCACAGUGGAUUAUUGUCCAUUCUUUUGCAAAUAAUUGCAUAAAACAUAAUUGAUACAAUAAAUAUUACUCACAUUUA